CUGGAAUUCCUCUCCUUGCUAUGACAACGGUGGAAUCAAACGCAAAUCAAAGGUACGACUUGCGUCAACUGGAAUUUCUCUCCUUACUAUCCCUAAUCAUAUUCUCCUAGUUUGGACUGCGCUAGACAUGGCUCUUAAGAUUUUCUUGAGGAAAAUGUUACCUCAAUUUCUUGCUCUUUAUUAUUAGUAUCAUCUUCUUCUCAUUUUGUUAUAUUAUCUUGUGAAGAACAUGGAUCUUCAACCUUAUCUUCUGAAAGAAUAUCGAAUUUAAUCUCCUUUUGUUCUUAUUUGAUGGGAAAAAAACUCUGUCCCAGUUCUUCCAGAUUGCAACUCUCAGCAUCGUCAUUUGUGGUCUGUUGUGGGUGGUAAUAUUUCCUUAAAGUUUUUGCUGAUGUCCUUUAAUCAGGCUAUCGGUGCAACCACUCCAUUUUUUACUGCAUUCAAUGCAUUGUUUGCUUAUUUUAUGACCCUUAAAAGGGAGGCUUGGGUUACUUAUGGUUGUCUUGUACUUGUGGUUGCUGGGGUUGUCAUUUCAAGCGGGGCACGAUUUUUCCCCCCCCUCUAAAAUUAGUACUUAUAAUCUGUUUAAUGAAAAAUAAGCAGCCUUUCUUGUUUUUUGAAUCUCUACACACUUUGAUGCAACUUAUGCACAUGGUUGAUAAAUGGGGAACAUGUACAAAUGUUUAAUUUUUCUUCAUAUUUUUUCAACUAUUAUUUCACCACAUUUAUUUUAGCACCAAAAACCUUUUUCGCUAAAGGAUCUAUCGUCACAUAAUUCAUAUUAAGUUUAUGUUUCACUUCCACUUUCUAAAAUCCAUUUAUUUUUAUCCGAGCGUUUGUUUGGUAAAUGAUUGCAUUGAGAAAUAAGAUUCCUAACUCAAUUAUUAUUUUGCAUUUUACAUUAGGAAAAAAUAAAUGUUGAAGACAUAAUGGACGUGAUGAUAAGUAAUAGGUGUAGAAUGAAAUUGAUUGACGAAGUUUUCUAUAGCUUGGAUGAUAAGCAUAAAGACCUAUUCACAAACUCCUGCUUUGGGCAUUUGAUGAGCUUGAGGGACAUAAAGCUUGCAUUACAAUUGGUCCACUGGUUAAUUCUGAGAUUGAUAAGUACCUUAAAAGAAAAUGAAGUAUGGAUUAAAAUUUGAGACAAGCAUACAAAAUUUGGAUUACAAGAGUUCACAUUGGUAACUGGGCUUAAAGUUGGGGAUUUGGAGGACAAGGAUCCGACGUUAGGGUAGAAUUGUAGACUCGUGGAGGAACGUCUCAAGCGUAGCAACGGAAAAAUAAAGAGGGGUUUAUUGUUAGAUGUUUUCAAACAUUGCAAGCAUAAGAGUGAUAAAUAUAAGUUGGGCCUCCUCGUUAUAUUGGUGUAUGUACUUUUGCCAGUAGAGGAGCAUACAUAUAUUAACUUGUGGCGGUUAUAUUUGGUGGAUGAUCUCGAUAGAUUUAACAAUUAUUCAUGGGGGAAAAGUCAUAUGAGUAUACUAUUAAGGCGCUUAAACCUAAUAUGGGAGAAAUGUUGAAGAAUUAUACAACUUCUUAGCGAUAUCCGUGUUCUGCAUGGAUUUUCCCUUGCAAUCAUGGUAAUAUAUUUUAAAACUAUUGUAUACAUUACAUUUUUUUUAAUUAGGUUAUUUAAAAUUACAUUUAUGAUUGUACAGAUUUGGGCGUUUGAAGCAGUUUCUAGUAUUCGAAAGAAAUUUGGUUGUGUGAUAGAUGAUUCUAGAAUUCCAAGAAUGACAGGCUGGGAAAUGCGCAAGCAACUUAGGGAGAAAUACUUUGCACAUUUUUGGAAUUGUCAAAUUUGAGUUUUGUUUAUUGAAAUCUACAUGGUGUAUUGAUAUCUGUAACUAAACAAUUUGUUGAAUAAUUAUACAUUUUUAUUUUUUCAGAUUGAGGUACACUGUACGUUAAAUCCUAUGGAUGAUGAAUUAUUGGAGCCAUUUUGGCAAUAAAUUGGACCUUUUGAUGAUGAAGCAGAUCCUAAGCUAGAUAAUGUCGAGUUUGAGGAUGAUGGCGGAAAAAAAUCUGAGAGUGACUAUGUACCAUCAAGUUCCAAUUGCCCACAAUGUCCUAAGACAUCAGAUUGACCAUAUGUGUCUAGCCAUCAACAUUCAUCUAAAACAUCUGUCCACCCCUAUUUUUUUUUCCAUCUUCACGUGGGCUCAGACAGGGUAAUUCCAUCUCACGUUCCUUGUUCAUUAUUGUUGCAGACAAUUUCCCUCGCAUUGUCACUCAGCAAUUUCAAGCCUGUCCCAAUAUGCAUUAUCGGCAUGGAGGUAGCAUCCUUGUCUUUCAUAUUUCUUCUCCUGAUAACAUGAUAAAAUUUGCCAAUGGCCAGAAACAAUCUAUCAGGAGGGUUCUCGAUUGUUUGGAGCAUUACGGGGGUUUUUUGGCCAGUUGGUAAAUCGAGAUAGGAGCGGUCUUAUACUACCUAGAUGAGCAUUAGAUAUUCAGGUCAGGAAACUUUUGUUUUUGAUUGAGUUUACACAUCAACAGCACCCGUUUACUUAUUUGAGAAUUCCCUUGUCUAAGGGGGCCAAGAGAAAUUUUUUAUAGGAUGAACUCAUCAUGAAGAUCAAGAGCAGAUUAUUAGGCUGGGCUUCUCAACUACUAUUACCUGCAGGCCGAAUUACUCUGUUUAAAUCACUACUAUCAUCUCUACCACUUUUUUUUUUUUUUUUUUAAAUUAUGCAGCCUCCCAAGCUGUAUUGAAAAAGUUGGAGAGCAUCUUUGCAUGAUUCCUAUGAAAUUCUAAGGGACAACCACGUCAACUACACUGGAGGAGUUAGAAGGAGAUUUUCCUUCCAAUAGACGGGGGCGGACUAGGCUUUAGGAAACUAUAGGAUGUGGGGGACAUUUUCUCUGUGAAGCUUUGGUAGUUGUUUUAGUCUCAUAGUUCUCUUUGGACUCAGUUCUUACUAGGCAAAUAUUAUAUGGGGGCUCAUCCAUCACUUGCAGCGGUUCCCUACUAGGCCUCUCCUACCUGGAAAAGGUUGAAAAGAGUUGUGCCACACACUGAGCUACACAUUGCAUGGCACCUUGACGUAGGACAUAUGUUCUUCUGGCACAAUUGCUGGAUGGGUGAUACUACACUGGCAUCCAUGUUCCCAUAUAGGCAGCACACAUUUGCAAGGUUACAUGAUUUUUUAUAACACUGGAUGGGAUUUUGGAUGAUUAUUACUGGCUCUUCCUCCUCACAUAGAGGGACAGAUAGGUAUGUAGAGAUGUCCCAGACCAUAUUAUAAGGAAGGUUACAUCGGAUGGUAUCUUUGCUAAAUCAAUUUGGUUCGCUAAUCUCAGGACUCGUAUCAAUUAAUGUGGAGCUCCAUUUUGCUUACAUGUGUUUCAUUCUUCUGCUGGUGAUUAUAGCAGGAUCUCAUUCCAAUAGGUGUUGUCAUUUAGAAGAGACUGGGUGUCAGUUUGCUUCUCGAUGUUAGUGUUGUUCUGAGAUUGAGACCAUCAGUCAUAUCGUCACUAGUAAUAGCAUAUCCGAUCAGCUAUGGCAAUACUUUGGGAACUUUUUUCAGAUACUUAUGAGAUCAAGAGAAGAGGUUAGACAGAGAUUUUAGAGAUGGAGAUAUUAUGUACAGUAAAUUUGUUGUGGACACAUUUGCACUACCAUUCCUCUAUUGAUAGUCUAGUUUUUAUGAAUCGAGAGGAAUGAUACGAAACAUAGGAAGAUCCUGAUGGUGGCUAGACAGAUCAUUUGGAAGGUAUGCCGCAUGAUCUCUUUUCUUCAUAUGGGAGAACUUUUUAGAACUGUGCACUGAUGAGGGAACUUAACACUUGCAUCAUUUUUUGGUAUAUCUAUGACUCUUCCUCCUCCACCACCAUCUAUUAUGAUUGUUUGGUGCAGCCCACCAAUGGGAUCUUAAAAGAUCGACACUGAAGGAUCCAUUAAGGAUGGAUUUACGAGUAGUGGGGCAUCAUUAGGGACUACACGGGACACUACAUCAGGGCAUUCUCAGCAUCUUAUGGCCCAUGUUUGAUUUUGGAAGUCGAGCUCAAAGCUAUACUGGACGGGAUUCUGUUGGCCAGAGAUGUUGGGAUAUCAGCUACUUAAGUUAAGACAGAUUUGACCAUGACUAUUCACUGUAUCACCAAGGAUGGAGGACCAUGGAAGAUUCAAAGCACUCUUCGACAUAUCAAAGACCUCAUCUCAUUCAACAGAGACAUGGUUUCACAUAUCUAUAGAGAGGAAAACCAGGUUGCAGACUCGAUUUCUUCAGAAGGUUGGGAUCACCUAUGCUAUUAGGAGUAUGGACCAUCCGACCUAACACGAUAGAUUAGGACACUAGUGUAGAUUGACAAACAUGGACUGCACAGCUUUAGAGGUUUGUAGCUUAGGUUCCAUUUUUUGCAUUAAUUCCAUUGUACAAUGAAGUAGUACUUUCCUAUUUAUUGCCCUAUUUUUAUAUUCACUUGUUGCAUUGUUUUUCAGAGGUCAGAUUUAUGUCCCCUCAUUCCCUGUAUUAUUCUUGAUUUUUAUUAUAUAUAUAUGGUUGGGAAACCCGUAAUCCCUAUCGACUUUCUUUAAUGGACCGUAAAAAGCCACUAAGAAUGUGUGGAUGUCUUCAUUAACACACACACACACACACACACUAUUUACAUGUCGACUUCCAACCAUUUAUCAGAUUCCAAUCCAAUGGUUUAGGUGGCUCCUCAAACAAGAGAAAAUCGUGAGGCUACAGCAAUAAAAGUGCCAUGCCUUAAAAACACAACUUUAGUGCAAUUGGACUCGGGUAAAUAGGUCAAGUCACGAUUUUGUGCAAUUGCAGGUUUUAAUGAAAAUAGUUUUAGGCCUUAACCUUAUCGUCAUUUUCCCAAGUGGUAAUCGGCAACACUGCCCGACACUUCAAAAAUGUGCUCACACAUUUUCGAUAAAACUACAAUCACAAUUUAACGACGUCGUAAAUAAAAUUAGCAUUUCUUGUCUACUUUCCAUAUUAUAAUAUCCCGUGUGUACCUUCUCUAUAUAACCGCCAAGUAAUUUUUUCAAAAUCAAAAAAUUUAACGCCGUUCUAGAAGAAAUUCGAGUAAAUGGAAAGGAAAAAACACUGGAUGAAUUCCAAUUUCUAUUUACAGAGACGAGCUCUAAAACUAGUCCAGUUUAUGGCACAAUACAUACAUUAAAAUCCUGGCAGUCAAACAUUUCCUAAUCGUCGUUUUCCCUCAAGUCACUGAUCCCUGUUCGAGUCUCUCCCACUCUGCUCAAACAUAACGGUUAGAUUCUUCAUCGAGUUGGAAUUUGUCAAACCCUAAUCUUUUGUCCAGGUAAUUCUCCUCCAAUCACUUUUUUUAAUUGAUAUAAUCGUGAACACCUAUUUAUAUAUUGAAGGGCAUUUUCUUGUCUGUAAAUUCCUUUUGUAAGCUUUCAAAGCUUUUGUUUGUUUUGAUUUAUUUCUAUAGAUUGAUGUGCUUUUGAUUCCUUGAUUUAUGAAAUGGACUCACCUAUUAUAACAAGUUUUGAUCAUAAGUUAGGUAUAUAAGGAUCUUUGUCUUGGGUCUAUUUUAAUAUCCCGCAUAUUCAUGUUUUCUUUCUUUCCCAAGAUCUUCAAUUAUCAGCCUCUCAAAUGCAUACUAUAUUAUAAUUAGUGAAUCAUUAUUUCUUUCAUGAAUUCAUCCACCCCUGAAUAUUCAUAUCUAACUUUGCAUCUAUGGUAUAUAUGUUCAUUGUGUUCUUGUCAUUUGUAAUUUCAUUUCUUUCAUCCAGGUCUGAGCAAUCAAAUCUUCCUUAACAAAUUGCACUUUGCUAUACACGCUUGUUAUAUCAGUCGAGUUUCAGGUCUGCUUUUGACAUCUAGACUCCUGCUUUUGGUAAGCUGCUCUCUUAUUCCUUUUGUUUUCUGUAAAUAUUUUGUCUAUGCUGCCAUGUUUUAGUUUUUCUCUGAAGCAUGGAAUGAGAGUAUAUACAUUCGUUAUUGAGUAGGAGGAAGAAAGACUCUCUUUAGGACUAUUAAGAGCUUAAGAAGAAAAUUCCAUCUUGCUUACAAUUAACUCUCUUAGAAUUUUCAGGUAAUGUAUAGAUCCUUUUGCUGAGGCAAAUGCCGAUAAUUCCAGUGCUAGUACCAAAGAAUACGCUCAUAUUCACGCACAACAACGGAAUGGUAGGAAAAGCUAAACAAAUGUGGAAGGAUUGAAGAAAAAAUUCAUUUAUAAUAAAUUACUCAAGGUUCUUAAGAAAUAAUUUUGCUGCAAUGGUACUGUCGUCCAGGACCAAAAUUAGGCCAAAUGUGUAUUGUUUCUUAACAUAUGAUCUAUUUCCUUUGUCCGCUUCCUUUUAAUUGAAAUUUAG
rnacentral:lncRNA from 1 species